GUUUCAAAACUGAGUGAGACUUCAUUUAAAAUGUAAUUUCCUUUCUAGUGGACGUUAAACCUGUAAAUCCUGAACCAUGAAAUCAUUGCUCGAUAAUUCAAAUUUUAUUGGUCCAACGCAUCAAACGUGACUCCAACGUCACUUCCGUACGAGACGUUGCAUCCUGUAAGUGUGGAGUUUGACCGAGCGGCUGAACGACAGAUCGGUUCUAACAGUCAGUGACUUUCAGCUUUAUUUAAACCUUAAAUUUAAUCUUGUGUCGUCAGAUUUAAACUCAGGUUCAGUUAUUGAGUGAAAAUACCAACAGACUCAGACAUUUAGGACAAACUAAGAGUCAGAUGAGCAGAAACAGAGAACACGGACAUGUCUGCUGUAACUGCGUCACUCUGCUCCACUUUGCUGAUGUUCGAUGGAGUCUUCAUGUUUGUCUCUGCAGAUUUUCCACCCUGAUGACCACAGAGGCCUUUGAGGCUUCCAGACGUCCUUCACAACAACAACCAGGAAAUCAUCACAGCUGAGUCUGGACAGAACGUCACUCUGACAUGUCGAGCUUCAAACAACAUUAUAGCAGUAAACUGGAGCAGAGCUGACCUGGGAACAAAAUAUGUCCUUUUUACCGGAUGAGCGUUUUUUCCAGACGACCAGCAUCCAUCUUUCAAGAACCGGGUGGAUCUGCAGGACAGACAGAUGAAAGAUGGAGACGUGUCUCUGAUUCUGAAGAAUGUGACGAUUAAUGACACUGGAACAUACGAGUGUCGUGUUGCCCAAAAAGAACCAAACCAAGAGAGACCCAGUUUGAAGCUCAUCAGCAGCAUCUACCUUCAUGUUGUUCCUCCAGGUGAGUGAGUAGAGUUGAGUGUGUGUGUGAUCAGAGGUGAAGCUGCUUCCUGGUUGUUGAUGUUUGUUUCUAAAGAUGUUGUUGAUGAGACUUUGUAGAAAGCAGCUGGUCUGAGUGAUGUGAUCAGAGUGCAGUAGAUAAUGUCUGACAGCAGUUUGAAGAGGAAAUGGAUUCUGUUCUGUUCUUCACUCAUCACCUACCUGACAGCUGACACCUCACACCUGUUUCUCACCUGCAGGUCAGACAGGAGGAUCUGUUGGACUGAUCGUCGGUCUGUCAUUUCUUGCUGUGCUUCUUGUUGCUGGUGUUGCUGGAUUUUUGGUCUGUAGAAAACAUAAACAACCGUGAGUCAGGAUCCGUAACAGCCUCCUGCUGAACUGCAGUUUGAAAUGUGAGUUCUUUACAGCUGAACUCCUGGAGUCUGAGUCUCCUGAUGAGCCAGACUUCAUUUAUUGUUAUUAAACAUUCAGAAGAUGAUCUGAGGACAGACACUAGUCGCCUGUCGGUGAUUUGAAGUUACUGUUUUUGUUUGUUUGUUUGCUUUGUGUGCAUCAGUAUUAGUUAUUAGUUUGUUUUAGUUUCCAGGUUAGUCGCUCAUCUCAGUGGAAGAGUUUAUGUCCUUAAACAGUGUUAUUUACACUUUUGCCUUAUUUCUAUGUGGAACAUUCAGGACUUCCUCAUUCAAACAAAGAAAGUUUGUUCACAGUGAUGAGUUCAGUGUUGUCUCUGUCACAAUAUCAGAAUCAGUGAGUUUGUUUCAUCUUCAGGUUCAGCUGUUUGUAAGGUCAGACUCACAGACUGAUUCUCAUGUUUAGAUGUUACACAAUAAUUACAGACACUGACUGACAACACAAACACAACACAAAGUGCUCAGGGUCCAUUUAUCAGCCAGAACUGAGUGACUGAAUAAUCUGAUAUUAUUAUGAAACCAAAGAGAAAUGUGUUACAUGGAGCUGCAGAGUCACAUGUUUCCUCCUCUGAUCUAUGAAGCCUUAACUUGUUCCUUCAAGAAGGAGACUCUUCAGUUUAAACACGUCAAGAUUAUUUUUUUAUUUACGAUUUAUAUCAGUUUGUUUAUCGAAAAAGUUUAAACGUGUUACUCUUGAAUGUUUUUCUUUGCUUCCUGUAAACAUUUCCUGACCUCCUGUUUAAAUGUGUGCAGAUUUGAUCUUGAAUGUAACAAUGUGAACAUUUAUAUACUAGAGAUGGACCGAUCCGAUAUUAGGUAUCGGUCCGAUACUGACGUAAAUUACUGGAUCGGAUAUCGGCGAGAAAUAAAAAAUGUAAUCCGAUCCAUUAAAUAUCAAAAAAGCACCUCACAAAACUUGCGACACGACGUAACUCAGCUCAUAACCGUAGCACGUCGGAGCAGUAUGCAUCACGUGAUAGAGUGGCUGUGUGUAUUUGUAGCCUCGCUAGCAAACCAGCAUUUCCAUCUCCGAGGAAGUUAUCCCAGAGAGAAGUAAAGCAAGUGUGUAAGUUCAUCUCUGAAUGUUUGUAAAGCGUACCUGCGUUAAGCUUAACCACCGAUAUAUGGAGCGACUGCCUCUUCUCUCUCUCUCCCUCUCCUGCCGCUACUUCAUGAAACUCCUUAAUGAUCAGCUGAUCGGCUUUUCUGUCAGGAGUCCGUCUCUUCUUUGUUUUUUUGGCCCACUUUGCACCACAAGGAGGAAAACAGCAGCUGAACAACAGCAGCGCGUUUAAGCUUGAUAAACUGUUGUUAGAAUUUAUUUAAUAUUACUUUCUACACCAGGAUCCUUUUCUAGUAGCUGACGGCUGGUAACUGUGCAGGGGCGGAUCUAGCAAAGCUUAGCCAGGGGGCCCGAUAGGGCAUUAACAGGGAAAAGGGGGCACAAAGACAUACUUUUCUUUCUUAUUCUCAUUUAAAAUGUGUAGCUUUUAAUAAAUAAUUAUCUGACUCUUACACCCAAAGUUUUAAUCUGAUGUAAAAUGUAUAGAAGUCCAUUACUGUAUAUAGUAACUGUUAAGUCUAAUAUACCCUAGUAAGCUAUAGUACUUUUUCCUUUGGGAAGGUACCAUCUGUGCAGUCUGCAAUUCUGUAGAAGAAAGAUGUUGAAUCUAUUUAAUUAUUCUUGAAAAAUAAUUUAUUUCUGUGCAUUUUUUUUUCACACUGCAUCAAAUUAAAGUUGAUUAUGUCGAUUAAGCAUCAUGA
ensembl:lncRNA